GAUGAACGCUGGCGGCGUGCCUAAUACAUGCAAGUCGAGCGAACAGACGAGGAGCUUGCUCCUCUGACGUUAGCGGCGGACGGGUGAGUAACACGUGGAUAACCUACCUAUAAGACUGGGAUAACUUCGGGAAACCGGAGCUAAUACCGGAUAAUAUAUUGAACCGCAUGGUUCAAUAGUGAAAGACGGUUUUGCUGUCACUUAUAGAUGGAUCCGCGCCGCAUUAGCUAGUUGGUAAGGUAACGGCUUACCAAGGCAACGAUGCGUAGCCGACCUGAGGGGGUGAUCGGCCACACUGGAACUGCGACACGGUCCAGACUCCUACGGGAGGCAGCAGUAGGGAAUCUUCCGCAAUGGGCGAAAGCCUGACGGAGCAACGCCGCGUGAGUGAUGAAGGUCUUCGGAUCGUAAAACUCUGUUAUUAGGGAAGAACAAAUGUGUAAGUAACUAUGCACGUCUUGACGGUACCUAAUCAGAAAGCCACGGCUAACUACGUG
rnacentral:rRNA from 1 species